rnacentral:rRNA from 1 species
UACGGAGGAUGCAAGCGUUAUCCGGAAUUAUUGGGCGUAAAGCGUCCGCAGGUGGUUUUGAAAGUUUGCUGUCAAAGCGCGGAGCUUAACUUCGUACCGGCAGUGAAAACUCCAAGACUAGAGUUUGGUAGGGGUCACGGGAAUUCCCAGUGUAGCGGUGGAAAUGCGUAGAGAUUGGGAAGAACACCAGCGGCGAAAGCGCGUGACUGGGCCUGAACUGACACUCAUGGACGAAAGCUAGGGGAGCGAAAGGG